AUGAAAGGGAGAUAUUUUCCUGAUGGAGACUUUUGGAACUCAAAAUGUCCAAGAGCAGCAUCUUACACAUGGAGAAGCAUUAUGUAUGGGAAGGAGCUCCUGCGGAGAGGAUUGUUAUGGAGAGUUGGAGACGGAAAACAAAUUUCUAUCAUCCGGGAUAAUUGGAUACCAGACACCAUACAUGAGACAAUGCAAACAUUAAUUCCAGUGGAAGAUAACCAAACAGUGAGCUCUCUAAUCUCUAGUAACGGCUCCACUUGGAAAGAAGAUACUGUUAGAGAACUCUUUGAUCGUGACAUUGCAGAAAGAAUUCUUAAAAUUCCCCUAAGCUCUGAAGGGUGCAGCGACUUUGCUUCCUGGCCAUAUACCAAAAAUGGAAUUUAUACAGUGAGGUCGGGCUACAAUCUAGUAAGAACAAAUCAGUUCUGGAUCAAUCGAAGUUCUGUUGGCAGUGGAUCUUCCUCGAAUCAAGAUGUUAUGCAGAAGUUGUGGAAGAAUCUGUGGAGAAUUCAGUGUCCAGAUAAAAUGAAGAUAGUACUAUGGAGAAUAGCUCACAAUUGCCUUCCUACGGGUGAUCAACUCCACAAACGGUCAAUUGCAACAAGGUAUGAUUGCAUAUAUUGUAACAAGUUUGAGACUCUGGAACACUGCCUCCUUUUGUGCCACUAUGUUAAAGAAAUCUGGGCUGAGCUUAAAAAGUGUUUUAACUUGUCUUUAAAAUUGAAAAGCUUUGUCCAUAUACAACAAUGGCUUCUGGAUUGGAUUUCUAGUACCUCAGAUUUACAUGCACUGAUCCUUGCUGUGGCGAUUUGGCAUAUAUGGGAGAACCGGAACAACAUAAGAAAUGGUGAAAAAAUGUCUCAUCCUUCACGUGUGGCAGGCAAGAUCAAAGCUUAUGUCGAUUUCAUCUUAUUGCACAAUUUCAGGUCGGCUGGCUCCAAUAGGCGUGAGCACCAGGUGUCAAUCCCGAAGUGGUCUCCGCCGCCGGCUGAGUCGGUCAAGGUCAAUGUUGAUGCUGCGAUUUUUGCCCAGACUAAACGCAUGGGCAUUGGUGUUGUGAUCCGAAAUCAUCUAGGUCGGGUGCUGGCAGCAAGCAGAGGGUUUAUUCAUCAUGUUGAUAAUCCGGAGCUGGGUGAAGCUAUUGCAAUGCGCCAUGCGUUGUUUUUUGCUGAAGAUUGCGGUUUCCAGAAAAUCCUUGUGGAGACAGAUUGUGCCAGUUUGAUCAACAAAAUUAAGAGUAAAAUGGAUGACAGGUCUCACACAGGUGCUGUAAUUUUUGAUAUUAAGAGUAGGGCUCCAAGGUUCUUAUCCUGUUGUUUUACUCAUGUUAGUCGAAGUUGUAAUGAGGCAGCUCAUGUUCUAGCAAAGUCUGCUGAACAUGAUGAAGGGUCAUGCUGGUUUAAUGUAUCUCCUGAAGUUAUCAGGAAUAUAGUUUGUACUGAACAGUUCUGA
rnacentral:rRNA from 1 species